AGUGUUGCAGUUUCGGUUUGUGACCGACACUAACGGGUAUUUCUUUUAUAUUGAGUAAGCCACUUUACUCGUUUUUGCGAUCACAAAUUCUGAAAUUGCAACAA
rnacentral:pre_miRNA from 1 species